rnacentral:rRNA from 1 species
CCUACGGGAGGCAGCAGUGAGGAAUAUUGGUCAAUGGGCGAGAGCCUGAACCAGCCAAGUCGCGUGAAGGAUGACGGCCCUACGGGUUGUAAACUUCUUUUGUCAGGGAGCAAGUGGGUCCACGCGUGGGGUUAGCGAGAGUACCUGAAGAAAAAGCAUCGGCUAACUCCGUGCCAGCAGCCGCGGUAAUACGGAGGAUGCGAGCGUUAUCCGGAUUUAUUGGGUUUAAAGGGUGCGUAGGCGGAAUAUCAAGUCAGCGGUAAAAUUUCGGGGCUCAACCCCGUCGUGCCGUUGAAACUGAUGUUCUUGAGUGGGCGAGAAGUAUGCGGAAUGCGUGGUGUAGCGGUGAAAUGCAUAGAUAUCACGCAGAACUCCGAUUGCGAAGGCAGCAUACCGGCGCCCAACUGACGCUGAGGCACGAAAGCGUGGGUAUCGAACAGGAUUAGAUACCCUUGUAGUC